UACGAAGGGGGCUAGCGUUGCUCGGAAUCACUGGGCGUAAAGCGCACGUAGGCGGAUCUUUAAGUCAGGGGUGAAAUCCUGGAGCUCAACUCCAGAACUGCCUUUGAUACUGAGGAUCUCGAGUCCGGGAGAGGUGAGUGGAACUCCGAGUGUAGAGGUGAAAUUCGUAGAUAUUCGGAAGAACACCAGUGGCGAAGGCGGCUCACUGGACUGGUAUUGACGCUGAGGUGCGAAAGCGUGGGGAGCAAACAGG
rnacentral:rRNA from 1 species